GAUGAACGCUGGCGGCGUGCCUAAUACAUGCAAGUCGAGCGAACGGACGAGAAUCUUGCUUCUCUGAUGUUAGCGGCGGACGGGUGAGUAACACGUGGAUAACCUACCUAUAAGACUGGGAUAACUUCGGGAAACCGUAGCUAAUACCGGAUAAUAUUUUGAACCGCAUGGUUCAAAAGUGAAAGACGGUCUUGCUGUCACUUAUAGAUGGAUCCGCGCUGCAUUAGCUAGUUGGUAAGGUAACGGCUUACCAAGGCAACGAUGCAUAGCCGACCUGAGAGGGUGAUCGGCCACACUGGAACUGAGACACGGUCCAGGCUCCUACGGGAGGCAGCAGUAGGGAAUCUUCCGCAAUGGGCGAAAGCCUGACGGAGCAACGCCGCGUGAGUGAUGAAGGUCUUCGGAUCGUAAAACUCUGUUAUUAGGGAAGAACAUAUGUGUAAGUAACUGUGCACAUCUUGACGGUACCUAAUCAGAAAGCCACGGCUAACUACGUG
rnacentral:rRNA from 1 species